rnacentral:rRNA from 1 species
AGUGAACGCUGGCGGCAGGCCUAACACAUGCAAGUCGAGCGGCAGCGCGGGGCAACCUGGCGGCGAGCGGCGGACGGGUGAGGAAUACGUCGGAAUCUGCCUUUUUGUGGGGGAUAACGUAGGGAAACUUACGCUAAUACCGCAUACGACCUACGGGUGAAAGUGGGGGACCGCAAGGCCUCACGCAGAAAGAUGAGCCGACGUCCGAUUAGCUAGCUGGCGAGGUAGUGGCUCACCAAGGCGACGAUCGGUAGCUGGUCUGAGAGGAUGAUCAGCCACACUGGGACUGAGACACGGCCCAGACUCCUACGGGAGGCAGUAGUGGGGAAUAUUGGACAAUGGGCGCAAGCCUGAUCCAGCCAUGCCGCGUGUGUGAAGAAGGCCUUCGUGUUGUAAAGCACUUUUGUCCGGAAAGAAAUCCUGAAGAUUAAUACUCUUUGGGGAUGACGGUACCGGAAGAAUAAGCACCGGCUAACUUCGUGCCAGCCGCCGCGGUAA